GCGGAGGAAAAGAAAAUAACAAUGAUUUCCCUAGUAACGGCGAGUGAAGAGGAAAAAGCUCAAAGUUGGAACCUAUUUGGCUUAGCUAAAUCGGAUUGUAAACUGUAGAAGUGUUUUCCUGACACGCCAGAUAAAUAAGUCCUUUGGAACAGGGCAUCAUAGAGGGUGAGAAUCCCGUCUUUGGUCUGAGCAGUUGUCUUUUGUGAUACAUUUUCAAAGAGUCAGGUUGUUUGGGAAUGCAGCCUAAAUUGGGUGGUAAAUCUCACCUAAAGCUAAAUAUUUGCGAGAGACCGAUAGCGAACAAGUACCGUGAGGGAAAGAUGAAAAGAACUUUGAAAAGAGAGUUAAACAGUAUGUGAAAUUGUUAAAAGGGAACCGUUUGGAGCCAGACUGGCUUGACUGUAAUCAAUCUAGAUUCUUCUGGAUGCACUUGCAGUUUAUGCCUGCCAAUGACAAUUUGUUUUGAGGGAAAAAACUGGGAAGAAUGUGGCCCCUUUUGGGGUGUUAUAGCUUCUUAGAAAAUACCUUGGAAUGGAUUGAGGAUCGCAGCGAAUGUCUUUUAGGCAAGAUUGCUGGGUGCUUUUGCUAAUAAAUGCUAGAAUUUCUGCUUUUAGGUGGUGCUAGUGUUUAAAGGCAAAACUCGCUUGGUAUAUUUUUUAUUCGCUUAGGUUGUUGGCUUAAUGACUCUAAAUGAC
rnacentral:rRNA from 1 species